CGGACUGUGAUAGUAAUAAUAAAUAACAACAUAAUAUUAUAAUUAUUUUUUGUUUGAAUCACUCGCGAAUUGCAAUUAUUUGAAAUUUGAACAAAAAUACACAUUACAGUCGUACAGAGUUCUGAUAAUCUAUUCAUACAUUUUAUUACAAAAUCACCAUGCAUAAGUGUAUUCUUUUUAGUAAAACAUCUAAAGUAUCGCCUAGCCACAUUAUGUUAAUUUUAAUUUGUAAAUCUCCAAAAAAUGAAAAUAGAAGGAAAUAAUAAUGGCUAAACAUCUUCGAACUAAAUGAUUAUUCCAAUUUCUAUCUGGCAUAGUAUUGGCGCUAAUCAUUUCAUAAUUAGUGAUUGUAAACAAUGCUCUCAAAACAUAAUCCAAACCAUUUGUCUGGGAUAGAGAAGUAAAAUAAAUUUUAGUGAUUUACAGCAAAAUUGGUACUACUCCGAGCACGACUAGUAAAUCGCAUCUAAUAGAAAAUUGUGUUUGUCCAACGAUGAGUUAGAAGAAAAUGAACAGGCGCAUAAAGGAUUUCGAGGCUUUACAUGCUGAUGAUUUUAAUUCACCCAGAAAAGUCUUAGAAACUUAAUAAUGUCCACACACACUUAUUUCAUACAGUGGAUUAUACUUAUUAUGGUUUUCAAAACUGAAAUAAUGAUGUACCACAUUCAAGGAACCAGGAAGUCGAGCCAAUGUAUUGGCAAUAUUUUUCAGACGUUGACUUUCUUGAAGAUAAUUCUACAGACUCUGAUGAAGCCAUACAAUAUUGGAGCGAAUUAUGAAACUUAAAGGUAAUACAAUUUUGCUGAGCAAGAAUCCAAUUUUAUUAACAUAAAUAAUUAAAUUGCAAAGAAACACACAACUAGUUUGGACUUUGGUAUCUUUUCUGAAGAGGAAUUGAAUAUAGUUGGACGCAUUUAACAGAGUUUACACACAUAUUUUGCCUGUGUCUUAUUCUAAACAAUUGGAUCAAAAGCCACCUCCAGCUGUUAUCACACAUAUCAUUUGUGAAGUCGUAACUAAUGUACAAGAUUUUUUGACAAACGCGUCACCUGUCAGAAUGGUCGGCAUGAGCAUGAGCUGUGAAAAGAUAUGUAUUGAAGAUAUUGCUGAUAGGCUGUUAAAAGUAUCGGGGUGUCCUACAACUGUUUACUGGUCGUCAAACCCGCUCCCACACAAGGAACUUACUUCUCAACGAGGAACAACAAACUUCUUUGAAAGUAAACCAAGCGAACACCAAUUACAUUCAGUUGCACUCUGAAUCGUAUUUGUGAAUAAAAUUAUUUGUCAAUGACUUAUUCGUCAUUAUAAGAAUACUUUAUUUUUUAAUUUUAUUUUAAAAAUGUAAUGUCUUUCAAUUCUAAAUAAAUUAUACUAUCAUACUUUUCA